rnacentral:rRNA from 1 species
CCUACGGGUGGCAGCAGUGAGGAAUAUUGGUCAAUGGCCGUAAGGCUGAACCAGCCAAGUCGCGUGAAGGAAGAAGGAUCUAUGGUUUGUAAACUUCUUUUGUACCGGGGUAAAAUGCUCUACGAGUAGGGUUUUGAAAGUACGGUACGAAUAAGGAUCGGCUAACUCCGUGCCAGCAGCCGCGGUAAUACGGAGGAUCCGAGCGUUAUCCGGAUUCAUUGGGUUUAAAGGGUGCGUAGGUUGUUUUAUAAGUUAGCGGUGAAAUACCGAUGCUCAACAUCGGGGCUGCCGCUGAUACUGUAGGACUAGAGAUCGGAUGCAGCAGGCGGAAUGUGUAGUGUAGCGGUGAAAUGCAUAGAUAUUACACAGAACACCGAUUGCGAAGGCAGCUUGCUAGGCCGGAUCUGACACUGAUGCACGAAAGCGUGGGGAUCGAACAGGAUUAGAUACCCUUGUAGUC